GCCCUUCUGUAAGGCCGAGCCCCCUCCUCUCCGGACGCGAUCAUCCUCUUCCUGAACAAGUCGAAGUCGUCCACCUGCGGAAGCCGCAAUUCGCGAAGAUGAGCCGAUUGCGGAGCGUAGAAGAGAAAGAAUCGCCGUCCCAGACAGGUAGGUGUCGGCGCUUGCCCGCCAAGGACGAUGCAUCUUCUUGCGGCUCAUGCGGUAUAUUUCAAUGAUGGUUCCUUUGUGGUAGAGGUCCACACAUGCGCGGGAGCCCCAAUCGAAGAUAUUCGCGGCCAGGACGCCCUCAACAAGCGCGAGCAAUCUCUCCUCCUGCGCGCGAAUUUUCGUCACUAUAAAGGGAAAUUUUCCACGAAAGAAGGAAGUUUUUUUUUUUUUUUCUAAGGCACCAAAAUAUUAGAUGCAGAGUCGAGCCUUAGGAACAUGC
rnacentral:lncRNA from 1 species